GAGGCAAUAGCUCAAGGGGUAGAGCACAUGCUUCGCUUGCAUGAGAUCCUGGGUUCAAUCCCCAAUACCUCC
rnacentral:tRNA from 1 species